AAGACCUGAAAGACCAUCACGCCGACCAAGACCCGAAAGGACACGACUACCACGACCCGAACCUGAAAGGACAUGGCUGCCGCGACCUGAACCCGAAUGGUCACAUUGGCCUACAGCAAGACCUGAAAGACCAUCACGCCGACCGCGACCAGAACCCGAAUGGCCAUGGUGGUGGCCACGUUUAACACAACCUCCAACCGAACAGCCAGAUUCCGAAAGAACUGUUUACCGACCUCAACCUGAAACGCCAUAUCCCAGAUCCGAAACGCCAUAUCCCAGACCCGAAACGCCAUAUCCCAGACCCGAACCUGCAAGAACGUCACCACGACCUGAGCCCGAAAGGACACAAUCACCGCGACCACAUUGGCCGCAUUGGCUUACAGCAAUACCUAGGCCUGAAAGAACAUGGGCAUUUCACAUUCCCGAACGGCCAUUUAGGCCUACAGCAAGACCUGGAUGGCCGUAUUUCGGAUUUGAAUGGCCACGACGUUCAACAACACAACCAGACAAUGGAAGGGCAAUUUCAACCACACCUGAACGCCGAAGACCAGGAUUUGGCAGACCAGGAUUUGGCAGACCAGGAUUUGGCAGACCAGGAGGACGUGGUUAAUUAAUUAAGGGCCCUGAAUAGCCCAUACGGUCGUCUCUUCCUGCGACGGGGUGUGGGGUGUUCACAGCGUUCGUGUCUGUGCUCUACUGAUAGACAAUUAUCAACUCCAGUAAUGGCUUUAUAUUUGUAUUAACUUUUUGGAAAUUAUGGUGUAAGAAUAAAAAAAAAAGUAUACUCAGAAAUGUAAAAAAAAAAAUGCAUAAAGUGAGCCCAUCCCACACAUAAUACAAUUACUAUAUUACUGUACUGUACAUUGCAUUACAAAAUUAAUAGAAAAAAGAAUGAUUUUAAGCAUUGCCGGGCGAAUAUGCUACGCAUCACUCUGAUAAACCACAAAAAACUAGGCCUAUUACACGUAAUUUAUGUAACCUUUAGUAAGAUUAAAUACAUGAGAUUAUUAUAUCUUCAUAAAUUUAGAAAAUUUAGAGCAUGUAUGGUAUGAGGUAGGGAGUACGUAGACGGUAAACACGACCUGGUCCUAAGGGCUGCGGUAACACGUUGUUCGGUUGGGUAAACACGGGCACUCACUGCGUGUCGUACAACGAAUCCAACUCCGCAACCCUGUGAGCGCUAGAUGACGCAACGCCGUCUGCUAAUUGUCGGUGAAAGCUGUCUGAACGGAUCGUCAUUAAAAAUGGUCCCUUGCGCGAGCGUCGCGGCGUUGCCUUCUUCGUAGAAUCGUGUCGGCCGAGUUCCCGGAUUAACUCAAUUGGGCUAGAUACUUCGACACUGAUACAUUAAAUGAUUUAUAUAAAGUCUUGCAGUAUAUAGAAAAACGUAUGCUAAAUACACCUGGUUAUGUCGUGGUUAUAGGCCUACUUGAAUGCUUUAAAAUUAUUAAUACUAUAGCGUAAGAUAAUAACAUUAAUUAGUUUCAAGCUAUGGACAAAAUAAAUUAGCAUGCGAUAUUGCACGAUUAAUCUUCUAAAUAUUAUCUGACUUGUUAUUUCCAGUUUUUCUGGCAUAUAAUUAAAACCAUGAUUAAUCUUAUUCUGCUUGUAAUAUAUCAACCACACUUCCCCGUCAACCUACUUCAACAUUACCUUCCUGUUACUAUUUUGCAGUGUCAGGUGGUCGGUUUUACCUACCCUAAACCUGAAUAAAAUAAAUAAACAAUAAUAAUAAUAAUAAUAUAGGCGUUUCUAUUAUUAUAUUCCAGGUUUACAAAAGUGCUUUUAAACUCAAUUUACAAAGUAUUUCAGAUAGGGUUAAAUUAGCUGAUAUAUGUGACGACAUAAAUGAUAUCACAUAUAAUCUCUAUCGUCAUAAAAAUUAUCUUAUUCUGCUUAUGAAACGACUUCCAGUAUAAGCCUAAAAACACAGUAAAUGUUCCAUUAUUAUCAAAAGAUAUAAGAAUGGAAAGGUCACCCUCGAUCCCAGAUUAUCAAACUUUACAAAUACAUGUGACAUGCUUAAAUAUAGUCAUUAUGAGAUCAGGUCAUAAACAUAUAUAGGCACAUCAUGUCUAUAAUAUGGGAAUGCAUACAUUUUUCGUCAAAGAAACUUUUAAGACAUUGGAAGGUGACUUAACUGGUUAUUGAGGUUGAAUUACUUAUUAUCAUAUUUUUUAUAUCUAUGGUGUAUUAUUUUACGGUAUAUAUGGAACAUAUUUACCUGUCAGAAAUGUUGUUUAAAAAUCUUUUAUUUUUUUUAAUAAAAAAUCUACUCAGUACCAUG